rnacentral:lncRNA from 12 species
UGCAUCUUUUACCCACUAUGCCAUCUGCAGCUGCAUCCUUGGUGUCAAACCUAGGUUAAACUAAGAUGGACAAAUGCCUAAGCUUCAAACAUUUCCUCAACCCUAUUUCAAAAAUGGCAGAUAUGGAAUGAAUGACAAAGCCUAUCUUAUCUCACAAACUCUUCUUUAACAUGUAUAGCAUGAAAAUACAUAAAAUAGCUCUGUUUCUACUUGGAGCAGUUUACACCACUUUUCUUUUCUUUCUUUUUUUUAAGAUUCUAUUUAUUUAUUCAUGAGAGACACAGAGAAAGAGAGAGAGGCAGAGACACAGGCAGAAGGAGAAGCAGGCUCUAUGCAGGGAGCCCAAUGUGCUCCCGGGUCUCCAGGGUCAGGCCCUGGGCUGAAGGCAGCGCUAAACCGCCAAGCCACCCGGGGUUCCCCUACACCAUGUUUCAAGUAUUGUCUGCUCCAGAUAUAAAGGAUUUUCCAUUGUCAACAGAGUCUAACUUCAGAUUCAUGCUUAGAGAAACACAGAUUUUCAUGGCAAUUGAAAAAAAUCAAGAAGUGUGAUGAGCCCUACAGUGUCACAGAGAGCAUUAACCAUGUUGGGAAGCCUCCGUGGGCUCAUGUUGCUUGGCUUUCCCCAGAAGUGGUAGUAAAUAGACCGAUUCAUCUAGAUAGAAUGGACAGAAGCUCAUAGGGGAAACUGAAUUACGCUUGCAAAGGCCCACGUGACAUGCUUGCUACUAAAAAGAGCCAACUAAAUUGAAUGUUAGAAGGGUGGUAAACCCAGGAGGUAUGUUGUGACCUAACGAAUUUCCUCAAUGGCUGUUGUGAAUUGCUCUGGAAGAUUCCAGAGUUGAGGUUUGUUUGUUUGUUUUUCCUUAACUCUGGACAACAUGAUAUACAGAGCAGCAUGCUAGGGCAGCAAUUGAAGGGUGAUUCUUUUUUUUUUAAGAUUUUAUUUAUUUAUUUGACACAGAGAGAUAGCAGAAGCAGAGGGAGCAGCAGAAGGAGAGGGAAAAGCAGGCUUCUUACUAAGCAGGGAGCUUGAUGUGAGGCUGGAUCCCUGGGAUCAUGACCUGAUCCAAAGGCAGGUGCUUCAUUAACUGAGCCACCCAGGGCCCCGAGAACUCUGAUUCUAUAAAAUGAGCCAAAAGCAGACCCUUAACCAUCACCCAGGUACCCUCCACUAAAAGUUUUUUUUAAACUAACCAAUCCCAAAUCUACUUACCUUGCUUCCCCUAUUCUAGUUCCUUCCCACAGAAACCACGAUAAAGUCUCUCAUGCAAUUUUCUUUCUACUCCCUCUGUGUCCCAGCAGACCUCUAUGCCUCCCCUCGGGGCCCUGCAUGACACAGUAUGCCUCUUCUCUUGGGAAUCUGUGAGUAUAACAAACUAUGUUUUCAAGGGCAAUUGUCUCUUGAUCUGUUGGCCUUUCCAUACUUACAUAAUAAUAAAACAUAUUUUAACAUGAUAGAGACUGAACCC